CCUAUAUAACCUAUAUAACAUAUAUAUAACAUAUAUAACAUAUAUAACACACACACACACACACACAUGCACGCACACACACACAUAUAUAUAUUUUGUAGAAAUGGGGUCUCUCCAUGUUGCCCAGUCUUCAUGGUAGGUUUCUGAUGUUUCUGUUAAUUGCUCUUUGCUUCCUAUUAGCAUAUCCUUUCCUACUCAGUGUAAAAUGACAACUAUGUGCUAUGCCGGUGGCACCCCCUGGAGGCCUGUGACAGUAUUUUGGUCUGUCGUCCUCAGUGCUUGCGUUUUUUUCUCUGGGAAAUUUUGCUUUCACCUAUUGAUCUCCAUUUUUGUGCUUUUACAGACAUACAAUUAGUUGAGUCAACAUCAUACUGUUUUUACUUAUUGAUACAUAUGUAAACUUUUUAAAAACUCACUUUCCUCUAUCUCUCUUUCAAAUUUGACUGAUGGAUUAAAGGAAUAACUCUCUCUCUCUUGACCACAGAUUAUUUCAUUUAUGAGGAACCAAGCUAUUUUGAUGUCUGUGAAUGAACUUAAAAGAAUGGUUCUCAGCCUGGGUCUCUCUAUCAAAUAAUUGAUGGCCACUGGUUUUGGAAUUAAAUUGGAGAAAAUAGAGAAAUCCUGCCCCCAAAUUACACAACCCUGGAAAGCAACUAUAUAACCCCUCAAGGUCCAGUCAACAGUUUUAUAUAUAUAUGUGUAUAUAUAUAU
rnacentral:lncRNA from 1 species